rnacentral:lncRNA from 1 species
UGAUAAACUAUUGAUUUUCUUUGUGAUUUAGACUCGAGACUGUUCCAAGAGAUUUCUAUGAAAAGGCUCCAUAACUAAGUUCUGCCUAAUACAUCAGCUCAGGUGCAUAUUUCUUCCCAGUACUUCAAAGCAAUCUGCUGAACUGGCUGGACUUUCCCUGGAGGGAUAAAGUACAGAUGUUCAGCUGCAACGUGAGCAUCUUGAAGUUCUCUGACAAUUUCCCCUCCACAGGGCAAGCUCCACUUGAAAGCUAUUCUACAUUUCCCUUUCCCUCAGGUUAUGUGSAUGGCAAUGGGGCUUUGCUGGUGUGGGGGCUGCUGCGUGAUCUAAGCCUCCAUCUGAAGAAAGCGUGGAGGUGGCAAGGAUGCUCAGGCUGACAUCAGCAGUCCAUCCUGGGACUAAAAUGAAUGGUCAGACCCGUUCCCAUGAGGGACAGUGGGAAGGUAAGAAGCAAUUGUCAUCUCYGGUCUAUGUGCUACU